rnacentral:rRNA from 1 species
GACGAACGCUGGCGGCGUGCUUAACACAUGCAAGUCGAACGGAAAGGCCCUGCUUGCAGGGUACUCGAGUGGCGAACGGGUGAGUAACACGUGGGUGAUCUGCCCUGCACUUCGGGAUAAGCCUGGGAAACUGGGUCUAAUACCGGAUAGGUGCCAUUUUCAGUGUGAUGGUUGGAAAGUUUUUUCGGUGUAGGAUGAGCUCGCGGCCUAUCAGCUUGUUGGUGGGGUAAUGGCCUACCAAGGCGGCGACGGGUAGCCGGCCUGAGAGGGUGGACGGCCACAUUGGGGCCUGGGUGCGGCCCAAGCUCCCACGGGGGGGAACAGGGGGGAAUAUUUCACAAAGGGCGCAAGGCUGGUGGAGCGGCGCCGCGGGGGGGAAGACGGGCUUCGGGUUGUAAACUCCUUUCGCUAGGAACGAAGCUUUUUGUGACGGUACCUAGAGAAGAAGCACCGGCUAACUACGUG